rnacentral:lncRNA from 1 species
CCGGCACCAAAAAAACUUGCACUCAGAAUGUCAGAGUACCACUCAAGUGGAAGGGUGCCAACCCGAGCUGCAGAGAAAGAUAUAGGAAACAAAAUAACAGGCAGCUAAAAGAAGGCUGACGAACAGCGCAGCCAGGGCAGAAAGCAGGCCAAUAAUAAACGAAAAGGGAGGGCAGAAAUACAACCCCACAACACCAGGAUACAACCAAAUG